GUCUUGGUGGUGUAGCGGUAGGGCGCGCGUCCCUGGAUACGAUGAAAGGCGGGUUCGAUUCCCGCCUGAAGCCG